AACGCCGAACACAGCAUUCACUAUAUAUUUUUAAUCAUAUUUACUGCUGUAUGACCAUACGUUCAUAUGGCGAUAUCCGCUGGAAGGAAAAUCCAUGCUGUUUUGAUUUGAAAUGCAUCAAUUUGUUAAAAGUGGAAAAGUGCUGUUGGUCCUCAUGGAGAGCUGUGCAGGUACAGGACACAAAUUUGCUGCUGUCCGGUUAAAAUCUGCAGAUAAGGCUGCAAUGAUCCGUUUUGAUCCAUGGGUUCAGCAAAGAGUACUUUACAAAGAGAAAAAGAAGCUGAAAACAUUGUAAUAAUUUUACCUGUAUUAAAUGUCUAAAUAAACUUUUUGUAUGUUUUUUCAAUA